rnacentral:rRNA from 1 species
GAUGAACGCUGGCGGCGUGCCUAACACAUGUAAUUAAGAUUAAAGAUUUAUCGGUGUACGAUGGGGAUGCGUUCCAUUAGGUAGUAGGCGGGGUAACGGCCCACCUAGUCUUCGAUGGAUAGGGGGUUCUGAGAGGAAGGUCCCCCACAUUGGAACUGAGACACGGUCCAAACUCCUACGGGAGGCAGCAGUGAGGAAUAUUGGUCAAUGGGCGAGAGCCUGAACCAGCCAAGUAGCGUGAAGGAUGACUGCCCUAUGGGUUGUAAACUUCUUUUAUAAAGGAAUAAAGUCGGGUAUGGAUACCCGUUUGCAUGUACUUUAUGAAUAAGGAUCGGCUAACUCCGUG